rnacentral:rRNA from 1 species
GACGAACGCUGGCGGCGUGCCUAAUACAUGCAAGUUGAGCGAUGAAGAUUGGUGCUUGCACCAAUUUGAAGAGCAGCGAACGGGUGAGUAACGCGUGGGGAAUCUGCCUUUGAGCGGGGGACAACAUUUGGAAACGAAUGCUAAUACCGCAUAAUAACUUUAAACAUAAGUUUUAAGUUUGAAAGAUGCAAUUGCAUCACUCAAAGAUGAUCCCGCGUUGUAUUAGCUAGUUGGUGAGGUAAAGGCUCACCAAGGCGAUGAUACAUAGCCGACCUGAGAGGGUGAUCGGCCACAUUGGGACUGAGACACGGCCCAAACUCCUACGGGAGGCAGCAGUAGGGAAUCUUCGGCAAUGGACGAAAGUCUGACCGAGCAACGCCGCGUGAGUGAAGAAGGUUUUCGGAUCGUAAAAUUCUGUUGGUAGAGAAGAACGUUGGUGAGAGUGGAAAGCUCAUCAAGUGACGGUAACUACCCAGAAAGGGACGGCUAACUACGUG